CAAUGCGUUUUGGACGAAACAGAGCGUUACAUCUACAACGCAAACGCUCUUGAUGGAUCGCUUAUAUUCAACUCUGUCUAUGAAGUGAUCAAAGUGUCCUUAAGUGAUGGCACGUUUCGAAACCCUGAUGAGGUACCCACCUAUCAGCUGGACAAGUUAAAGAAAGAAGCUUAUAGAGACCUUACCCUCUUAAAGACCUUUGUGGAACAUCCACAAAGAUCCUUGCAAUGCACGCCAAAUCCCGGAUAUGGCAUCGCAUGUCCUGAGUUGCAGCACAACAACUUUCAAGGUAUACAAGUUUAUCAUGGUCGCGCUCUAGGUCUUUUGAUAUGUAUAUCCUAUUACAGACUUGCUAAAUUAUUAGAUUAGAAUAUGAAUAAAACAUGUUUAUUCGAGUCGGGCUCUAAGUCUUUUGAUAUGUAUAUAUCCUAUUAUAGACUUGCUAAAUUAUUAGAAAGUAUCUUAGGAUAGGAAUAAAACAUGUUAAUUCUGGUCGCGCUCUAGGUAUUUUGAUAUGUAUAUCUUAUUAUAGACUUGCUAAAUUAUUAUAAAAAAAUAUCUUAUGAUAUCACUAAAAGAUGUUUAUUAUGGUACUCUAAGGUCUUUUGAUAUGUGUAUCUUAUAAUAGACGUGCUAAAUUAUUAUUCAAUGUUCUUUUUAAUGUUUAGGAACUUUGGAUCCAUCAGGCUCUAUGAGUUCUCUUUACUUCACAGCUGCAAACUCUACCAUCCAACCAGAGAGUUUUGAGAACUCACCAGACAUGACGUUUCAUAUCGACCGGAAUUUAUUACAGAGAAACAGCUUCAGGAUAAGUGAACACGACCACGAUGCACAAACUUUAGCCACGAGAGGGUAUAUCGAGAACGAAGAGGACGAUCAUGAGAAUACUUUUACUUAUCAUCAGGGCAUGUCCUCGAACUUGUCAACUGGUGCGGCGGAUUGGGAGCAACAAAUGUAUAAUAGUUUGUCUGUUAGCGUGUUUGGCACGGAAGAAGCUGGAACGUAUAAUGUUCGUUUUACAAACACUGCGGGGUCUCCAAGAGCCAGGUGGUGCAAGAUUAAGGCAGCUUUCAAAAUUCGAGAAGUCUGGAAACAGGCAGCUGCCAGAAACCGAGGGAAGGCUUGCCUAGCGUACUAGAUUCAGUAGUUUCGAUUCUUACGGUGCACGAAAGAUGCAGCAUAUAUAUUGCGUGUGUGUGUGUUUUUUUUUCUGGCUAAUGGCUGUUCCAAAUGGCUUUUAUCCCAGCUCAUGUUUGAUAUAUCUUUCAGAUAUAAAAGGCUAUACAUACAUAACGAAUAAGUUUACAUGUUUAUAUUUUGUUAUUUGUUUUUCCAUCAGUUGUAAUGCUUUUAUAGGAAAGGGCUUGUAAAAGUUGUAGCCUUUACAUGCUGUAUUUGAUUCAAUGGUUUCUUGUAAUGCACGAAAGCUAUUUAUAGGCAGAUUAUUUAUGUUUUUCCCCUCUUUGCCUAUACCCACAUUUUUUUAAGAAAAUAUAAGCGAUAAUUAUUUUGACAAAACCUGUUUACAUUUUUCCUAAAUUUGUAGUUGACUUGUUUUAUGCCUACAUCAAAUUGGCGUUCUAAGAAUGUUUGAAAAUAUCCACCCACAAGGCAACAGUGUUUAAAAUUAGAAUCAUUGUCCUUUGGAUAUGCCAAAAAGGUAUGUAACCUUCCAUCUAUUUUACGUUUUAUAUAAGACUCUACUCAAACAAGUAUAAAAAUAAACAGCAUCAGAAUAUAUACUAAAUCAACCAAUUAUAUGAUCUUUUAUAACAUAAUCAACUUUCAAAUCAAACCUCCACUUAUUUAUCUAAAUAAAAAGUUGAUUUCUCUUGGCUAGAACUUAUUAUAAGAUAAUCUUUUGGGUUUGGACAGACUAUUGUAUUGCCUUUUGUUUCCCUUUAUAAUAUUUUUGGCUUAAGAAGACUAUUGGCUUCCUAAUCACAAAAGUCUAAAAUCAAUUGAAAACAUUGGUGGCUCUUUUGCUUCAUUACUUUUUCUAUGUCCUUGUCUUCAUGUGAACACAUUUGCAUAAUCUGUGGUUUCUUCUACUUUCUGUUCUAACACACACACACACUCAUAAUUAUUAAAAACAAUCCCACAGAUCCUGAUCGUGCGUACACCACUUGGCUUUUCACCCAUGACCCGACAAUGAUUUGGCAAAUGUUUUGUUUUGUGUCAUCAAUCUACCAGAAAUCCAUAAUCAUUAUUGAUCAAAAGAGCAGCCAAGUGCAUUUUUGUCUUCUUACCACAGUCACCCUAGUAUGAAAGAGUUUUUAAGGAGAUCUUCAAGCCUUUCUUGAUGACUAACACAAACCAGAAAAGAAAAGCAAUCUUCCCACAGCUUCUCCAUAUCAUUCCUCUAGGGUUCAUUAUAGUGAUCAAACCCUUCCCCCACAAAGGUUGGUUCUUUGAUUUAAUUGAUCCAUUAGAGAGCUAUGGUCUUGUUCAUUGUCUUAACCUGUCAAUGUUGCUCUUCUAAAUUUAACUAGGGAAAUGGAAGGAGAGAAGGAGACAGUAAGGUGUUGCAGUGAUUGCAAGACCACCAAGACACCAAUGUGGAGAGGUGGACCAUCUGGUCCCAAGGUCUCUUCUUCUACCUUCACUAUACUUAUAACUUUAUUUGAUAUUUAAGCAAAAAAAUGGAUAAUUCAAGAAGUAUAUAUACUUAAGUUUUUUUUAAUGGAAUUCACAGUCUCUUUGCAAUGCAUGUGGGAUAAGAUUCAUGAGACAGAGACGAACCAAGUUAUUGGGUAUUCGUGUUAUUCGUAGCCACAAAGUCUACAAGAAGAUAAACACAUCGUUAUUGUCAUCACAUGGUAGCGUGGCUUUGAAGAAACGAAGGCGGAGUCUAAAGGAGGAAGAACAAGCUGCUCUGUGUCUACUAUUAUUGUCUUGUCGCUCUGUUUUCGCCUGAGAGAAAAAAAAAACAGAGAGUAUCCCGCUGAAAAGACAGUUUUGUCCUUUAUAUUUUGUAAUAAAAUUCAAAGUCUGAUUAACAAUGGGUCUUAGUGGUUACUCCACAACGAUGUGUGUCUCAAUCUCGCAAGUCUCAACAGUUAAACUAAAAGGCUCAUUAUCAGCUCUACGGGGAUAAACUACAAGGGAUGGUAAAACUGGCGCAAGGCGUGUACUUGUCUUUUUACUUGAUAUUUGGCUUGGCUUAAACGAAUAAUAAAUUUUUGGACUUAUAUUUGACUUGUCAAAAAUAAGUACUUGUCCAAAAAUAUGUUACUUGCAAGUUACUUGUCUUGUUCGAUUAUUUGUUAGUUACAAAUAUUUAUUAAUUAUUUGGAUAUAUUUUUAAGUUUCUAAGAAUUAUUGAUAGAUAAUAUUCUAUGAGAAAAGGUUAUGAAAGUUUUUUUAUAUUUGCAGAAGAAAGUAAGUUUGGGUAAAAUAUUUGGAUCUGAAGAAUCGAGCUGAACUUGAUUUGAAAGUAAUAACUAUACACAAACUAAAACUGAUUAAGUACUCAAAUGGAUCUAAAAGUUUAAUAUCUGGAUAACCAGACCAGAAUCCGAUCCAAACUGAAAUAUUUUGGAUACCGAAAAUAUCUAAAACACAAUUAUAUACUUAAAUAUAUUAGUUAUUUUAAAUUUUAUAUCUAUUAGAUAUUAAUUAAUAUGAAAAUAUCUAAAAUCAAAAAUUUGUUCAAAAUACUGAAGUAUAUUUUUUUCUCUAUCUAAAUAUUUAAAUUGAACUAUUUUUAUGUAAACUUUUAUAUUGUUUUUAUUUUUGGAUGUUGAGGAUUGAGUAUAUUUAGAUUUUUGUUUAAAAUUACAUAAUUAAAAUAGGUACUCAAACUCGAAUCUGAACCAAACAUGCAAUGAUUCGAACCAAAUCCAAUCCAAAUUCAAACCAAAUUCAAUUCAAAUUCAAACCAAAAUUUGUAAAUAUCUGAAUCAUAUUAAAAUUUCUUACUCUAAAAAUAAAAAUUCGAAUAGAUCAACUGAAUCCAAACGGAUAUCUGAAUGUCCAUCCUUUGAAAAAGCUAAAUGACAAAUCUCUUAUUACAUCGUAAAAUAAAUAAUCUAAUCAAUUAUUUUAUUCCGCGCACGGUACGAAUUAUUACCGAGUAUAUAUAUAUAGUGAUGAAAGAACAUGAAGAAGAGAGUUGAUGGGGUAGCUAUUGUGUCCAUCUCCUCAUACUUAAAAUACUCACAAAAGGGUAUUUACUACUAUCCUCCUCAUCGCCUUUAUUCAUCUCAUAUUCACUCUUCCCAUCACACCUGCAUGGAUCGCAUGUAUAGACACAUACAUAGAUAAAUGCAUAAUCUAUGUCAAAUUAGCAUAUACAAUCAUGUAUCGUGAAGAUGAAUUGGUGAGAAGAACCUUGAGGAAGAAAUCGAACGGGUGAAUCUUGAACUCAUUUCGCGCACUGUUUGAAGAAAAUUAUUGAAAAAUAAGAACUAUAACAAUAUGAUAUGUUUUUUGAGGGAGGCUACCCUCAAUCAAUUUAUAUAUUGGAUGUGGCGGACAUGUCGUCUUCAAUGUGAAAUAGACCAAGUUGGUUCAACACAAAAUCCUAUCCAAAUCUCUAGAGAUUUCUGAGAAUGAUUGCUAUAGAAGAUGAAUAUAUACCUACUGAUGGUAUUAUUAGAUUAUACAGAUCCAUUGUAUUAUUAGAUAAUACAGAUCCUAAACUUAUAUAUACAUAUAUUUGAAGUGAACUUGUGUUAGUAUGUACAGAUCAGAUAUCCGAUAAAAAAAUAUUAGAAUAUUCGUAAAAGUGCAGAUUGAAUCAAAUCGAAAAGUUAGUUAUUCGUCUGGCGCGGAGCAUAUCACUGGUAUCUCUAAAUAUUAUUGGUACAAAAUAUUAUUUUUAAUUAGAAUUUCCGAAAAUUUAAGUCUGGAGAUUUUGGCGUAACAAAAUGGGUAAUUUUUUUUUAUUUUGUUAUGGAUUUUUGUUGGUGAUUUAUAUUGAUUUAGGCCGGGCACAUCGCACGGGUUACAAAAUAAAAUUUAUUUCCGAAUCAGCGAAACGACUAGACUGACAGACGUUUUGUUCUUGCAGCUAGCAUGCUGCGACACAUGAUGUGCAUAUUUUUCAAACAAUGUAGCGAUAUUAAUGGCAUCUCCAAAGUGAGCUACAAGCAUUGUUUCAGUCACUGCUCUGAUGCAAUUAGCUUCUUUUUCCCCUGCUUUUGCUCUAUCUGAUUGCAAGCCAUAUUCUUCGUUACUAAGACCGAGAUCAAAUAUAUGUGUCUCCAAGUCGUUUACCAUGAAUGAACCCUCAUUUCUAAUUAGUUCUUUCACUUCGUCUCCGUUAGGAUCAUAAAACGGCACCUUGAACGAACUCACCUUUGAUGCACUCACAAGACCCUAUACAUAGAUCAUGAUUAACCAUCCGUGUACAUUAAAAUAUCAACAAAAUGUAAAUAUCUAAUGAUUUUUUACCUCGAAGACUAGGUCACGCAGAGAAUCGGAUAACAAUGUCAACCAAUGACAACAAUCCCUGUAUAGUGGAUCAUCAAGAGUUUUCCUGCCGAUUAAUGUGAGAACCAUGCGUCCAUUAGAUACCAUUUCUUCGGAACGCAUUCUUAGAAAUGUCGUAAAAUCUUUCUGGAACUGAUUCAGGUAAGCCUUGUGUUCACUUGGAAGACUUGAACCUGUUAUGUACACACUCAUCUUGUUCUUCUCAAGUCCGUCGGGAACCUUACAAGCCAACAAAUUCAUUGUCAUAAGCUUUGUACUUAUGAAGCAGUUAAUAAAUUAUUAUUAGUGGUACUAAGUGCUGAUGAUACCUUAGAGAGGUAAUGAAGACUGUAGUUUGAAUGAACGAAAUGGAGACUCUUGCGAGGAAAAAGCCUUGAGUAAAAGGAACCAGGUACUCCAGAGACAAAGCAUGGUAUUUUGCUUGUGAGCUUAUCGUUGAAGAAGGUUAGGAACUUGAAUGUCAUGUUGAAAUCAUUACCAGAGAGAUCGUUCAGACAACAAUCUAUCUCUGGAGGGUUUUUGUUGCUUUCUUCACAUAACGCAAUGAUUGUGUUAACGAUAUCAGACAUGACCGUGAACGUGUUCUGUCCUGAAGAACAGCCCAAAUCGGCUAGUUUAAGGCAUUUAGGAAAGUCCAAGUUUUUCAUCAUUUCUUUAGUGUUUUUAACCAGGAUGGGCUUGGUCAUUGAUAAAACUCUUCUCUGCAUAAAACAAGGAAAGACGCAAAUUACUUAGCAAAUGUGUGUGUUUUUUAACCACGAACGCAUCUAGGCCAGGGUCCAACUAAUUCAUCACGUGGAACAACACCGACGACUACUUCAGCUUUGGAUUUUUUUUAAUGAAGACUAAGACUUGAUCCUAUGUUUGUCUAGUUAAGCAGUAGCAAUUUAGUUCAUGGUAGGAUUCGAACCCAUGACAAGGUUGAGUAUAGAAUAUAAUAUAUAAAUAUGUAAUGAUACAUUAGUUUGUGUAAGCAUGUCCUACAAAAAAAAGAAAAGAAAAAGAAAUAUAUAGAAGACGAAAGAACCUGAAGAAGAGAGUUGGUGGAGUAGCUAUUGUGUCCAUCUCCCGAACAUGAUCGUAUGUUGUUGAAACUUGCAAACAUGUGCUUAGUUAUAUAUAUAUAUAUAUAUAUGAUAUAUGUAAAGUAGUGAUUAAUUAUCUUUUCUUUUAUGAUUAUAGGUCGGAGAGGCGCUUGAUCAUCGUCUUAGUCAACGACCUUAUCUCUUUUCGUCGUGGUCCCAAACCGAACGCUCACGUUCGGAAACGCCGUCGUCGCGUUCAUGUCUCAAGCUGCGAUUCAUAAACUCGCCGCCGUCUCCCAUAUUCAUGGGAGCCAAGAUCGAAACCAAGGACGGUUCUCCUGUAGCGAUCGAGCUCGUGGACGCAGCCACGAACGCUCGAGUCGUUUCGGGACCGCUCUCAUCUUCUCGUGUGGAGAUCGUGCCGCUUAAAGCUCACUUCACGGAGGAAAGCUGGACCGUUGACGAGUUCAAACGCUAUAUUGAGAAGCAGCGUGAAGGCAAACCUCCGUUACUCACCGGAGAUGUAACUGUCACGCUUGAAAACGGAGUCGGAGUGAUAGCCGGAGACGUCGCGUUCUCGGAUAACUCGAGUUGGACUUGGAGUAGGAUGUUCCGGUUAGGUGCUAGGUUAACCGGUGGUGAAGCCGUGGAGGCAAGGAGUGAAGCUUUUAACUGUAAAGACCAACGUGGAGAAUGUAAGUAUUACUGCGUUUGGUUAGGGUUGUAGACGCUGUUAGUGAGUUUAGGUUAAAUUAUCAACCGUUUUUAAUUGAGAAAUAACCGGUAAUAGUAAAGCACAUUUACCCAAAAAGACACACAAUUUUUUUUCUCAAAAUAACAUUAAUAAAAUAAAAUGAAAACAUUUUUUAUCUUGUAUUUUCAUUUGAGUUUUGUGAUUAGAGUUUUUGGUUUAGUAUUUAAGGGUGAAGAUAUAAUUAAUAAGAGUUUAAGAUUUGAAGUAAUUAAGUUAUUUAAUCCUUUAUUUAAUAUUGUUAUAGAGAUUUUGUUCUUUUAUGUUAUUUUGUCAUAAAUUAUUUUUAUGUUAUGGAAAUGAUUUAAAUUUUAAAAUUGUGGUUAUGUGCAGCUUAUAGAAAACAUUACCCUCCGUCUCCCAAUGACGAGGUUUGGAGACUGAAGAACAUAGCUAAAGGUGGCGUUUCGGCAAAGCGUUUGGCUGAGCAGGAGAUUUAUACCGUCAAGGAUUUACUCCGUUGGUAUGCCGUAUGUCCAAAUGAGUUAUACAACGUAAGAUUCUAAAUCUAAGUAAUUUUAAUAAAUCUUUAAAUUUUAAUGUAACUAAAUCGACUAAUCUAAAUUGUUAUUUUGAGCAGAUACUUGGUAGAGAGACAAAGUCAGGAAGGAUCUCAAAGAGAAAAUGGGAAGCAAUUGUAUCCCACGCCAUGCAAUGCGUUUUGGACGAAACAGAGCGUUACAUCUACAACGCAAACGCUCUUGAUGGAUCGCUUAUAUUCAACUCUGUCUAUGAAGUGAUCAAAGUGUCCUUAAGUGAUGGCACGUUUCGAAACCCUGAUGAGGUACCCACCUAUCAGCUGGACAAGUUAAAGAAAGAAGCUUAUAGAGACCUUACCCUCUUAAAGACCUUUGUGGAACAUCCACAAAGAUCCUUGCAAUGCACGCCAAAUCCCGGAUAUGGCAUCGCAUGUCCUGAGUUGCAGCACAACAACUUUCAAGGUAUACAAGUUUAUCAUGGUCGCGCUCUAGGUCUUUUGAUAUGUAUAUCCUAUUACAGACUUGCUAAAUUAUUAGAUUAGAAUAUGAAUAAAACAUGUUUAUUCGAGUCGG
rnacentral:lncRNA from 1 species